rnacentral:lncRNA from 1 species
UGAUUACCCACCCGUCAGGGCACCGCUGAAGGUCACUGAAUACUUACUGUGCACCCGAAAAAUAAAUCCUGCGAGUUCACGCCCGCGUAGUUCGCCCCCUGAUUUUGAGCGACUCCUUUCGCAUGGGAUCUACAAAACCGAACUGCCUUAAAGACCUCUUUCACACGGACGUGAAGUCACAGAACUGACAAAAUCCCAUCCUGUCAAAGUGCACGGGUCUUUGAAAUCUAACACAAAAAGCCAUAGAAAGAUUCUCUAAACACCCUGUACUAAGAGGAACACGGACAGGGCACUGCGUUCUGAAGUAGAGGCCAGGGCACUGGCCCUUAGACACGUCUCGCUGUCACCGGGCUAACAACAUUGGCAAGGGCGGCGGCAGCAGCACUGAUAUUUGCAGCCCCCAAGGGCUCUGGCGAAACCCCCUCUAUUACUCUGUAUCCUGCCUGCUUCCAAGAUGAACCUGUUGCUGGGAAAGAACAGGCUAAAUUAGAAAAGGGAGUAUUUUGUCAAAGUUGAAGAAACCUCUGUAGAGGAGCAGGAUGCAACCGACAGGCUGUGGCCGGACAGCUGCUGCCCAGCACAUGGAGCCUGCACGCGCACGGUUUGGCCAAAGAAGCCCCCAUACUCCCGGUGAAAAAGAUUUCCAGAAGCUGUUCUGUCAAUAACAAAGUCUCAAAGAAAACCACAAAACCACCAACACUAAGAUCAUUCUUGAGUCCAAUUUGAAAAACUAGGGUCAAGUUCUGCAGAGGCAUUGAAAGGACAAGAAACCACCCUGAUACCCAUCGUGUGAGGGAAAAUGCUCUAUUCACCAUUCCUCAGCUUCUGCUUCUGGUUUCAGAGUUCUCUCUAUAUUGGAGGGUGUUUUAAAGCUAGAGUGGUCUUUAUCCACUUUUAUUAACACAUCUGAAUGUGAAGGUCAAGAGAGGAAAGUGAUAUGUCCUAAGUCAGAGUAGAGUCAACAAGAAAAUAAGACAAACAGCGACUGAGCCCCUGGUGUAUACUGGGCAUUGGCCAGCUACUGGGGAUAUGGAGAUGAAGAAAACAUAACCCUUCUUCAAGGAGCCCAACCUACCAAGGUAGACAGACAUAUAGACAAAUAGAUACUUGCAUAGAAAAAAAGAGGAAAAGGGGAUCAGUGUGACCUGUGUAACUAAGUACCCUAUAAACCCUCCUGCAACAGAUCAUAUUGCCCUUUAUAGUGGGGAUGGUAAUCCCAUCUGAAUUCCACAGGUACUUUGCAGUCAUACCACACCCAUGUGUCUGUCGGUCCUGACUGUACCAUUUAUAAACAGCUUCACUUUCAGCAGUUCUCAGCCCUCUUAAGCUAGGGUCAUUGUCAGUAGGGAUACUGCUUCAUAAGCACCAGCAGAACACCAAAGGAGACCAUAUGGGUGAAAGCAACCAGCACUGCCCUGGCGCUUCAUAGGUU